UACGGAGGGGGCAAGCGUUGUUCGGAAUCAUUGGGCGUAAAGCGCGUGUAGGCGGCUUGGUAAGUCGGGUGUGAAAUCCCGGGGCCCAACCCCGGAACUGCAUUCGAAACUGCCUCGCUAGAGUACCGGAGAGGAAGGCGGAAUUCCCGGUGUAGAGGUGAAAUUCGUAGAUAUCGGGAGGAACACCAGCGGCGAAGGCGGCCUUCUGGACGGUGACUGACGCUGAGACGCGAAAGCGUGGGGAGCAAACAGG
rnacentral:rRNA from 1 species